UACUUGUUCAGUAUCCAUUACAGUGUCU
rnacentral:sRNA from 1 species